rnacentral:lncRNA from 1 species
UAUGCAGAAAAUAAGUAGUCCUGAUCUAGAUUUUCAGGCCCAGAUAUCAUAUCUGUAAUUUCAACGGUGUCUUUGAUACAUUCAAGACGGGACUGAACUUCAUUUGAGUCAUCAGCAUAAUCGUAAGUGUCCACCCUGUUUGAAAUCAUGAUUACAAGUUCAUGUACAUCAAUAAUUUUAUGUAAACUACAUCGAAGGGUUGUCAUAAUGGAAUUUAUGUAUUUUACCUUAAAUUUGGUCUCGAAAGUACAUCAUUGUCUUCUGAGCAAUAAGGUCUAUCAGAAAAGCAAGAACUAUCUUCGGGUAAUGACUUCAGAUUGU